rnacentral:rRNA from 1 species
AUGAACGCUGGCGGCGUGCCUAAUACAUGCAAGUCGAGCGAACAGACGAGGAGCUUGCUCCUUCGACGUUAGCGGCGGACGGGUGAGUAACACGUAGGUAACCUACCUAUAAGACUGGGAUAACUUCGGGAAACCGGAGCUAAUACCGGAUAAUAUUUCGAACCGCAUGGUUCGAUAGUGAAAGAUGGCUUUGCUAUCACUUAUAGAUGGACCUGCGCCGUAUUAGCUAGUUGGUAAGGUAACGGCUUACCAAGGCAACGAUACGUAGCCGACCUGAGAGGGUGAUCGGCCACACUGGAACUGAGACACGGUCCAGACUCCUACGGGAGGCAGCAGUAGGGAAUCUUCCGCAAUGGGCGAAAGCCUGACGGAGCAACGCCGCGUGAGUGAUGAAGGUCUUCGGAUUGUAAAACUCUGUUAUUAGGGAAGAACAAACGUGUAAGUAACUGUGCACGUCUUGACGGUACCUAAUCAGAAAGCCACGGCUAACUACGUG